AUCGCUUCUCCGCUCCUUGGAGCUAAGAUCAAGCGUAGUGUCAGUUCUUAUCAGUUUAAUAUCUGAUCGGUCCUUUAUUUGAGGACUGUAUAUUAAAUUGAUUUUUGAAACAAGGGGAUGGAAUAGGAGCUUGCUUGCUCUGUCCACUCUGUCCACUGGUAUUGCAGUGUCUCCAGGACCAGUGCCUAUCCUUU